CAACAGCCUGUAAUAUCAUACCAACCAAAUGCAACAUCCUGGCAACCGACUUAGUUAACAUAAAAACCACCUGGAAACACUCUAACAAUCAGCUGGGAUAGCAUAGCAACCACCUAGCACCAUCCUAGCCACUGACUCAAAUAUGAUAGAAACCACCUAGCAACACCCUAGCAACAAAUUGGAAUACCAUAGCAACCACCUAGCAACCACCUGGAAUGUCAUAGCAACCAUCUUAGCAACAUACUAGCAACCCACUGGAACACCAUAGCUACCACCUUGCAACCAAAUCAAAUAGCAUAGCAACCACCUAGCAACACCCUAGCAACCAACUGGAAUACCAUAGCAACUACCUAACAACAGCCCAAAACCACGUGGAAUACCAUAGCAACCACCAACAACACUCUGGCAUCCACCUAGAAUACCAUAGCAACUACCUAGCAAAACCCUAGCAAACACCAGGAAUAGCAUGGGAACCACCUAGUUACAACCUAGCAACCACCUGGGAUAUUACAGCAACCAAAUAGCAACUCCCUAGCAACCAGAUGGCAUCUCAUUUAUAUCAGUACCUUGCAGGCUGUUGCAGAUACAGAAGAGGUAUAAAAUGGGGUAGUUUGUGUAUCCUGAGGUGAAUAAAGCCAAACCCCAUGUCAUUCCCAGCAGGACAGUCAGGCCCAGGACAGUGCAAAUGUCCUUACGGGACAGAAGCUUACUGCCUUGGACAUUCAAGCAACGCAUCUUAAAGAUUUGAUACGUCACUGCCAACAGAAUAGAUGUGUUGAACAGGAUUGUUAAGGAAAAGUAGGGGAUGUUCAUGCCAUACAAAAGUUAGACCACAUGGAUUCCUCACCCCAUCCAAACAGCGACAGCUUGACCAUGUAGUGCUUGAAGUGGGUGUUGAACACUUUGAUUAGAAGCAAGUACAAGUGUAUGGCUUCAAUGGCCAUCCAAGAGAAACAGGCCAGGAGGCUGUACUGUAUUAUCACCGCUAUUACAACGCACACAGUGUCUUGAGACCAAGUGGCUCCCCAUUCAAUUAACAAGAAGCUGGUGUUGAGGAGGAACAAGGCUACACUCAAAGACACAUGGAUAUGGAUGGAAUUGCUUCUAUUUGGGCUCCUGUAAAAACAGAGCAUAUAUAUGUUUGGGUUGUAUUUGUGUAUGCUGUUGAAUUUUAUAUACAGACAGGUUACAAAUUAAAGCAAAAACAGAUUGAUCUGUUAUGCAGGGGAAUGUGGGGGAAUUGAUUUAUUUCCCUAGCAUGGUUUGGAGUCUCUUGUCCAUUCAGACUGAUCACCUUUAUCCAAUGAUGAAACAUUUAUAUUCUGAUCCCCAAACCAUCCCCAAACCCUUGAGCACUGAACCACUGCUGUCCCUUGAAUGUCCUAGCUGUGGAAAUACAGGGUACUAUAACCAGUAGUGUUUUCUCAAAUUUCUGAGGAGCCCCAUUCUUUUAGUCCAAGGGUCUUCUCAGGUUAGGGCUCCUGGGUAGUCCAGAUCUAAUGUUCAUCCUUCUGUGACACUCUUGACAUUAACUGUAUAAUCCAAUAUCAGGGUUUUUGAUCUACCAUAGUAUCUUAGUUCCAAUAUCCCAUUUCAAACAGAACAGCAUCAACAGCAUCAAUUUCAAUGUAAUUGAUUAUGGAAACUGCUAGAAUAUUUAAAAUACAUUUAAAAAUAUUUGCUCUUAGCCAGUUAAAAUGCAUCAUUGGUAUAUCAUCACAUUUAUAAUACCCACUUCAUGAAAACGUAGAGGAAGAUGGUGACUAUUGAGAAAAACGACGAAAGACUACACCCUAUAUAACUCAUAUAGGACAGGAUUUUCCACUGCCAAGGAUCAAUUUUCAGCACGUUCAUGUCAACCUAAUAACACACACACACACACACACACACACACGCACACACACACGCACACACACACAUGCAGUCAGAUAAUACAGAUUUAUUAGCAAAGCUAUAGUAUAACUAGUUUACACACUUGAUUUCUGAUACUAAUUCAGUUCUUACCAGAAGUACAGCGAAGGGGGUCAUAUGAUUGUAUGAGCAGGUUACAGUGUUGCUGCUGUUAAAGUUAAUCAGGUUGGUGAAAGACCCCAUGUCAUCCCACUUUUGCUCUAUUUGGGAUCAAAUAAGAAUCUAUGGUUAAUUUUAACCUAAUAGCCACAAGCAGGUAGGAUCCUGUGUGUGUACACAUGAGAAGAAGACAAUAAAAAAAAAGAAUGUUGUACACUUUUGUUGGUAGUUUUCAAAAGACUGAUAUGAGUAGAGUCAUAUAGGUUGCUGUGAUGUUCUCGAGCUGCUGUGAGUCACCCUGACAAUCCUGUACUAUUAAUUCAGAUUGCUUUUUACUUCACUUGUUAAUGUGGAAAGAAAAAUGAAUGCACUAUGUCUUGAUUGAGGAACACACCAGAUAUAACGUUCUACAUUUUUGCAAUAUAUUCUCAUUUGCAUUUUCUGCUUCAGUCCAAAUGAAUGAAUAUGAAGCCAAGCAAUUUCAGAUAAUAUGACAUUAACUAUGGAAAAGCUCCAAAAUCCUGUCAUAUUAAGCAGCCGUACAUUUUAAAGCAUAGUAUUUAGCAACUACUAACAGUUAUUCACUAUCUAAAGUAAAGUAGCAAAGAGAAGCUAAGAGUUUGGAAAUGUACGUUUUGAUAAAUUAAAAAAAAGCUGAUUACACCCUUAUAAAAAGCAUUU